UACGAAGGGGGCUAGCGUUGUUCGGAAUUACUGGGCGUAAAGCGCACGUAGGCGGAUAUUUAAGUCAGGGGUGAAAUCCCAGAGCUCAACUCUGGAACUGCCUUUGAUGCUGGGUAUCUUGAGUAUGGAAGAGGUAAGUGGAAUUGCGAGUGUAGAGGUGAAAUUCGUAGAUAUUCACAGGAACACCAGUGGCGAAGGCGGCUUACUGGUCCAUAACUGACGCUGAGGUGGCG
rnacentral:rRNA from 1 species